AUUCUGAGGUACUGGCAGUUAGGACUUUGACACAGAAAUUUUGGGAGGACACAAUUCAGCCCAUAACAGAGCCCAUGCUGGAAGACAGUCCCUGAAACACUGAGUGGACAUCAUGGAUAAUACUCUUUUGAUGGAUGGCUUCUCUGUCUGCUCCUGAAAUAUCAGUGUUCCUUAGGAACCCAUCUAUGGCCUAUAACCUGCCUCACCCUACAACACCCCUGGGCUAUAAAUUCAACAACUUUCUAUAUAAAGGUGCCCAUUAUUUUUGGCUUUACUUUUACAACAUCCUCCAGGCUGGACCCCUUUCAAUUCACUCCAAGAGACCUUUGAAGAUCCCGGCACUUACAGUCUCUAUCUUCUGCUUAAAGUCUGCAGUGACUCUCCAUUGCCUACAGGGUUUUUGUUCUUUAAGCUACGACUCCUCAGCCUGACCUUUGAAGACUUGUUCUCAAGUGCCUGCCUCCCUGUCCAGCCUCGUUUGCCUCAGUCUGUAAAAUCCAUGAGGACAGGGCUCAGGUGUGUUUCAGCUCACAUGCCUGACAUGGUGGACUCGGAACUGCCCCCUCUCUGAGCUGGAGAAGGAGGCCCACGAGAGCACACCGGAGAUAUCCGAGGGGCCAGCCGGGGAGUGCCCUGCAGGAGGUGGAGUGGCAGAGAACUCGAGCCUGGGCCGGGAGAAGCCUGAAGCCCCAAGCAGGUCCUGGGGAAAGUUGCUCUGGAGCUGGUUCUGUGGGCUCUCUGGAGCACCGGAGCAGGCCCUGAGCCCAGCAGAGAAGGCUGCACUAGAACAGAAGCUGACAAGCAUUGAGGAGGAGCCACUCUGGAGACAUGUCUGCAACAUCAAUGCUGUCCUUUUGCUGGCCAUCAACAUCUUCCUCUGGGGCUAUUUUGCAUGAUUCCACAGACCUGGCUUCAGUGUAGACAGAUUAAACAAAGCCCAAGCCUGUCAGCCACAGAAACAGGCUCUCCUCUUACUUUGCUGUCUAAACUGGAGACCACAGAAGUCAAGACUGCAAGCUCCCCUGAGGAGAAUCCAACUCAACCUGCACACUUGACAAGUGGAGAAACAGAAGCCCAGAGAGAGCGCUGGGUUUGUUCAGGGCCACCCAGCAGGAGUCACAUGGGGUUUCUCCACUCUUUCUGAUAUAUUGCCUUACAGACCUACCUCAAACACACUGUUUCCACCCUCUUCUUGAAUGUAUUCAGUAGCCUUUACUGAAUGUGUGUCUUGAGAUUAGAAAAGUGGAGGAUACAAGAAAAGAAGCAGCAAGAAAUUUGCAAAAAUCCAAGAGCACCUUUGCUCCCCCUCAUCCUCCUUCCUCUUCGCCUUUCUGGUUCCCCUACCUCUCUAUCUUUCUAUUCUCACCAAUAAUCUAUUUGUAGCAUGAAUUUACCCAGGAGGGUCCUAUAUUUCCAUUGGUGGCUCCACAGUGGUGGCUGUCAGACCCGAAGACGUGGGGAGCCAAGGACGGACUUUAAGCAUGGUGACAGAUGGUAUUUUGGGCAGAAAGCUCUUGGACAAUGGACUAUCCAAAGCACUAUUUAAAUUCUGCCUCUUCCUACUCUCUAACCCAAAUAUGCACGAACUCUCUAUGGCCGUUGGAGAGACAUGACUUGUUAAAACCUCAAGGAAUCAAGACAUGUUACUCUGUAUUUAAGGGUAAGCCCCACAGCGGGCAGCACAAACAGCCUGGGAGCCACUAUGCCUGUGCUUCUCUGUCCUUCUCCCUUUGCUUGCCAUGUAUCUGCAUACCUUGGAAUACACUGUGACCCCAGUUAAGUGUCCCUUCGCCAGGAAGCUGUCACAAUGUCCAAACUUGGGUCAAGGUCCCGCUCCUGCUCCCAUAGCCUUGGACCUGCUUCUGUCACAGCACUCAUCACACCGAGAUGGAAGACUCCAGGGGGCAAGGACCGAGGGCCAUGUCCCAAGUGACUUUGUACCCAGAAAAUAACAGCUGUUCAAUAAAUAUGUAUUGAGUUAA
rnacentral:sRNA from 1 species